rnacentral:misc_RNA from 1 species
CCGAAAUUGCACGAAAAACCUCCAAAUUUUUCAUUCAAUUUGAAUCGUAACAAGGAAAAUGCCAUGGAACCACAAGUGCCACACCAUCAAUCCGCAUUGGGAACAGAGUCGCAAUAUCAGCCGUCCAAUAGAAAAACUACGAUCCAAAUUUCUCCUCAAAACGAUCCGGCACGGAUCGACAACGAAAUACCCCAGCCUCGGGUCUUUCUAUAAAUGCCCUGUUACCAUUAGUUGUCUCUCUCAGUCGAUCGCGCAAUCUAUCUCACUCUUUGCUUCUCAAAUUUCUACACAGGUUCUUAAACUUUCUCUUUUUCUGUACUUCACCUGAUUUUUAUUUAUUUUCUUCAUUUUCCCUCGGCUGUUAUGAUCAAGUGGUGCUUCUGAUUGUAACCUCAUCCAUUUGUUGUUUUCUUUUGGAAAUUUUUUGCUUUGAUCAAAACGAAAUUUGGGGUUCUUAGGAUUUCUGAUGGUUUACAAUUAAACAGAAUUUUAGUUAUGGUUGGAAUUGCUCAGAUUUUUGUAAACUUACUCUUAUUUAACGAAAUUUCGUGGGGUGAUUUUGUUUAUUUUGAGUCGAGCAGUUUGUGCAUUUGAUGUUUGAGGUUUGAUUUUGAUUAGGGUUUCUUUGACAUCUAUAAUGUUGUUCCUAUUUAUGUUAAAUUUUUCGUUAUCCUCUUGCUACUGCCUGGUUUGCCUCAGUCUAGCUAACAAUUUGGUGUUUGAAAUUCUCAGAACUCAUAAGCCGCUCUUAGUUUUUUCUUUUUCCUUUUUUUUUUCUAAAAAAAAAAUAAUUUAUCAUACCCACAUACCGUGGUGGCUGUUUGGUUAGCGAGAAAGUGCGAGAAAAGUAAAGAAAAUUUAGCAUAUAUAGUUUUUUCAUUCAAGUUAUUAGUGCCCUUAUUUCUUUAUAUUUUUAUUGCAAAAGGUUAUAGCUCAGUUAAGCAGUUUUGUUCUCUCGGUUCUAAUUUAUCAAUUGAAUUAAAUUUACAGAUCCUGCUUGUGAACAAAAAUGUCUGGGCGCGGCAAGGGAGGCAAGGGGCUAGGAAAGGGAGGAGCCAAACGUCACCGCAAAGUCCUUCGGGAUAACAUCCAAGGCAUCACAAAGCCAGCAAUUCGCCGUUUGGCACGCAGAGGUGGUGUGAAGCGUAUCAGUGGUCUGAUUUAUGAAGAGACCCGUGGAGUACUCAAGAUCUUCCUUGAGAAUGUGAUAAGAGACGCAGUGACCUACACCGAACACGCUCGCCG